rnacentral:tRNA from 1 species
AGUGUAGUUCAGUUUGGUUAGAACACUAGUUUCGGGAACUAGAGGUCGUAGGUUCAAAUCCUAUUACU